UACAUGUGGGGGCAAGCGUUGUCCGGAAUCAUUGGGCGUAAAGCGCGUGUAGGCGGCUCGGAAAGUCUGGCGUGAAAUCUUGAGGCUCAACCUUAAGCUGUCACUGGAUACUGUCGAGCUUGAGUCCGGAAGAGGAGAGUGGAAUUCCUGGUGUAGCGGUGGAAUGCGCAGAUAUCAGGAGGAACACCUAUGGCGAAGGCAGCUCUCUGGUACGUGACUGACGCUGAGACGCGAAAGCGUGGGGAGCAAACAGG
rnacentral:rRNA from 1 species